UACGGAGGGGGCUAGCGUUGUUCGGAAUUACUGGGCGUAAAGCGCGCGUAGGAGGAUGUUCAAGUCGGGGGUGAAAUCCCGGGGCUCAACCCCGGAACUGCCUCCGAUACUGGACGUCUGGAGGACGGGAGAGGCGAGUGGAAUGCCGAGUGUAGAGGUGAAAUUCGUAGAUAUUCGGCGGAACACCCGUGGCGAAGGAGCAUCGCGGGUCCGUUUCUGACUCUGAGGCGCGAAAGCGUGGGGAGCAAACAGG
rnacentral:rRNA from 1 species